rnacentral:rRNA from 1 species
GUAUCUCUGUAGAGUCUGCAUAUCAAUAAGCGGAGGAAAAGAAACUAACUAGGAUUCCCUCAGUAACGGCGAGUGAAGCGGGAAGAGCUCAAAUUUGAAAUCUUCAAGGUUCUACCUUGACGAGUUGUAGUUUAAAGAAGUGUUUUCUGUUGGAGUUUUGGUAAAAGUUCUUUGGAAUAGGACAUCAUAGAGGGUGAGAAUCCCGUAUUUGACCAUUAUUUCCAGCUUUGUGAUACACUUUCAAAGAGUCGGAUUGUUUGGGAAUGCAGUCCAAAAUGGGUGGUAGAUUUCAUCUAAAGCUAAAUACUGGCGAGAGACCGAUAGCGAACAAGUACCGUGAGGGAAAGAUGAAAAGAACUUUGAAAAGAGAGUUAAACAGUACGUGAAAUUGUCAAAAGGGAAGCGUUUGACACCAGUGUUGUUUUCUCGAAAAUCAAUUAAAAAAGGCAGGAUUUUGUGUUGUAUUGACUUUAUCAGCUUUCUGCACUCUUUUCUUGUCUUUUUUAAUGCACUUUUCGUUUAACAAGUCAACAUCAAUUUCUUUUGUUGUAAAAGGGUCAUUGGAAGGUGGCUUUCUUUUCGGAGAAAGUGUUUAUAGCCUUUGGCCUCUGCAAUCGGAGAGAUUGAGGUCUGCAGCGUAGAUCCUUCGGGGUUAGAUACAUUUGUGCUAAGUUAUAGCCUUUCAUAGACAACUUGUUGACUAUGAUCAGUCAUGUAGCUUACUCGCUUAUGCUAUUUUACCUACGCUUAGGAUGUUGACGAGACUGUCGAUCUC